rnacentral:rRNA from 1 species
UCUACGGGAGGCAGCAGUGGGGAAUAUUGCACAAUGGGGGAAACCCUGAUGCAGCGACGCCGCGUGAGUGAAGAAGUAUUUCGGUACGUAAAGCUCUAUCAGCAGGGAAGAAAAAAAGUCCUUUGGACUUUGGACGGUACCUGACCAAGAAGCCCCGGCUAACUACGUGCCAGCAGCCGCGGUAAUACGUAGGGGGCAAGCGUUAUCCGGAUUUACUGGGUGUAAAGGGGGCGCAGACGGCGAUGCAAGCCAGGAGUGAAAGCCCGGGGCCCAACCCCGGGACUGCUCUUGGAACUGCGUGGCUAGAGUGCAGGAGGGGCAGGCGGAAUUCCUGGUGUAGCGGUGAAAUGCGUAGAUAUCAGGAGGAACACCGGUGGCGAAGGCGGCCUGCUGGACUGCAACUGACGUUGAGGCCCGAAAGCGUGGGGAGCAAACAGGAUUAGAUACCCCAGUAGUC